GAUGAACGCUGGCGGCGUGCUUAACACAUGCAAGUCGAACGAGAAGUGAAGACGGAAACCUUCGGGCGGAAGGCUUUAUUUCGAGUGGCGGACGGGUGAGUGACGCGUGGGUAACCUGCCUCAUACAGGGGGAUAACAGUUGGAAACGACUGUUAAUACCGCAUAAGACCACAGCACCGCAUGGUGCGGGGGUAAAAACUCCGGUGGUAUGAGAUGGACCCGCGUUCGAUUAGCCAGUUGGCGGGGUAACGGCCCACCAAAGCGACGAUCGAUAGCCGAUCUGAGAGGAUGACCGGCCACAUUGGGACUGAGACACGGCCCAAACUCCUACGGGAGGCAGCAGUGGGGAAUAUUGCACAAUGGGGGAAACCCUGAUGCAGCGACGCCGCGUGAGUGAAGAAGUAUUUCGGUAUGUAAAGCUCUAUCAGCAGGGAAGAAAAUGACGGUACCUGAGUAAGAAGCCCCGGCUAACUACGUG
rnacentral:rRNA from 1 species